UGGUUCUGGCAUCGAUGAAGAACGCAGCGAAACGCGAGAGGUAAUGUGAAUUGCAGAAUUCCGUGAAUCAUCGAAUCUUUGAACGCACAUUGCGCCCUCUGGUAUUCCGGGGGGCACGCCCGUCCGAGCGUCAUCUAUACCAUCCAGCCUGGCUGGGUCUUGGGCAGCGGGCGAUUAUGUCGCCCGCGCCCCAAAUCGCUCGGCCGCCCGGCCGUAUCGGGGCGUCAGGACGGAUGACCGUUCGCCCACGAUGCGUCGCCGCGGUGGCCGCCGUCGAGGAAGCACAACCUAAGGUGGACCUCGGAUCGGGCGGGGAUACCCGCUGA
rnacentral:misc_RNA from 1 species